CAGGAUUAUUCCUAGCUAUACAUUACA
rnacentral:piRNA from 1 species